rnacentral:piRNA from 1 species
UCUAAGUUCCCGACGCCUCUUGGCCC